AUCAAGCUAACCCAUAAGCCCAUCAACCUAUAUUUUAUGCAAAUGAUAUUAGAUUUUUAAUUCACAAUUCUAGAUCUAAUUAGUUCAACUUAAUUCUCAAUUAAGUGUAGGUUCAACAUGGGUUUAGAUUUAUGUUUAAAAUAUUUUUAAUUUUUAAUUUUAUAAAUAAAUUAUAAUAAAUUAUAUAAAUAUUUUUUAUUUUGAAAC
rnacentral:lncRNA from 1 species